rnacentral:rRNA from 1 species
CCUACGGGUGGCAGCAGUGAGGAAUAUUGGUCAAUGGACGCGAGUCUGAACCAGCCAAGUAGCGUGAAGGAUGACUGCCCUAUGGGUUGUAAACUUCUUUUAUAUGGGGAUAAAAUGUUCCACGUGUGGGGUUUUGUAUGUACCGUAUGAAUAAGGAUCGGCUAACUCCGUGCCAGCAGCCGCGGUAAUACGGAGGAUUCAAGCGUUAUCCGGAUUUAUUGGGUUUAAAGGGAGCGUAGGUGGAUUGUUAAGUCAGUGGUGAAAUGUUGCGGCUCAACCGUAAAAUUGCAGUUGAAACUGGCAGUCUUGAGUACAGUAGAGGUAGGCGGAAUGCGUGGUGUAGCGGUGAAAUGCUUAGAUAUCACGAAGAACUCCGAUUGCGAAGGCAGCUCACUGGACUGCAACUGACACUGAGGCUCGAAAGUGUGGGUAUCAAACAGGAUUAGAUACCCUGGUAGUC